CUCAUCGCAAGUCUUAAUAUCAACAAAAUAUUACAAUACAUUGAAAAUCGAUUUUGUCACAAUUCAAGCACGACAUAUCUAGAGUGAUUGCAAUCAACUAUCACAAGAAGAAAAUCAGCCCUGGAUGGUCCAAAGGCAGUGGGCUGGCAAAAUUGACAAAAGAACUGAGCAUCCACCAAACUGUAGAUGACAACAUCAAAAUCAUCUCUAAAAUCAUUUGCAAAAGCAAAACUACAUGCAUAAACAAAACUAAAAAACAUACUACAAUAGCAAACAAUAACUUCUAAAAGCAAAGACUUGUUAAGCAAUAGAAAACAAACAAAAAAAACAUAUAAAACUCAAGAUAACAAGAGUCCAAAUCGACUCGUGAAAUCAUUUAUUAUUCUGAAAUACUCUCAACAAUGAAACAAAUCAAGAAACCGACGAAGACCUACCCACUUUUCAAGAGAAACCGCUGGUGGUCGGUGGAGUUUUAGAGAUGACAAGCAUCGUCAUCUGUCCAUCAUGACUUGUGAAAACAAUAAAGGCACCUACAAAAUAAAUCUACAAACUAAAAAGGGAGAAAACACGUAGAGUAAACGAGGAGAAAAAAAAGUUGGUGGGAGGGACAAAAAAAUAGGUAGUAGCCAACUCAGAAGUUAGCACAGUCGUUGGGUAAAAUAAUAAAGAAGCAAACGACUAUGAGAAAAAAGUUUGAAAUCAGAUUUUUUUAAAAAAAUUAUUUUUAGACCGUGAGUCACAUGGCUUCGAUUGAGGGCUAAUAUAAGAAUAUAAAUUGUUGGGCCAAACUUAAAAAUUUUAUGCGGAAAAAAUAUUAAAUUAUAAUACUAAAUAGUAAGAGGACUCAAAUUGCAAUAUGCCUAUUGUAUCUUAUUUUUAAAAAAAAAUUGAUGUAAAAUUUAAAAAAUUGUUAACACCAUUAAAAUUUAUUGUUAAAUUCAAUUCCUUU
rnacentral:lncRNA from 1 species